GACGAACGCUGGCGGCGUGCUUAACACAUGCAAGUCGAACGGUAAGGCCCUUCGGGGUACACGAGUGGCGAACGGGUGAGUAACACGUGGGUGAUCUGCCCUGCACUUCGGGAUAAGCCUGGGAAACUGGGUCUAAUACCGGAUAGGACCACUGCCUGCAUGGGUGGUGGUGGAAAGCUUUUGCGGUGUGGGAUGGGCCCUCGGCCUAUCAGCUUGUUGGUGGGGUGAUGGCCUACCAAGGCGACGACGGGUAGCCGGCCUGAGAGGGUGACCGGCCACACUGGGACUGAGAUACGGCCCAGACUCCUACGGGAGGCAGCAGUGGGGGAUAUUGCACAAUGGGCGCAAGCCUGAUGCAGCGACGCCGCGUGAGGGAUGACGGCCUUCGGGUUGUAAACCUCUUUCAGCACCGACGAAGCGCAAGUGACGGUAGGUGCAGAAGAAGGACCGGCCAACUACGUGCCAGCCGCCGCGGUAA
rnacentral:rRNA from 1 species